UUGUCAAUUACUAAAGCUAUGAACUCAAAAUUCUCUAAUAGUGUUACCGACCAAUGAAUAGUUUACUUGAAAUACGAGAACUUCGAAACAAUUUUUGAAGGAUUAUUACUAAUUUUUUAAGUUACUCCAUAAAGAAAAAUAUUGGAUUAAUCAAGUUUGAUAUUCCACUAUUAGAUACAAUUGAAACUACAGUGCCUAGUUUCAGAGUGUCAAUUAUGAUCCCAAUAGCCUCAGCUAACUAAACAUGCACAUGCACACAUCAAGCAUUGGACCAGUUCAGAAUUAUUAUCGUCCAUUUGGGUUUCUGAGGCAGUAAGUCGUAUAAAACAUUCAAUAGCACAAGAGUAUAUGCUCAAAAUGUAAAACAAAUGAAGCUUUAGAAGGCUAAAGACACAAAAUCUGUCUUUAAUUG
rnacentral:misc_RNA from 1 species